CACCACCAAGAUUGACCCCUACUGAUCUCUACCCUCAGCACUGAUCAGUACUUUCAAAGUACUACAUUUAUCGCUCUAUUUAUCUGGCACUGUCCUGCUGUUCAUAAAAUCUUGAUAUUAGUUCCAGUCUUUGAAUUUGCUGUCAGAAAGUUUGAUGAUGUUUUUUUCCGCUCAUGUAAAGACUAUUUUCAAAGCCGUGUUUCUGCUCUCGGCCCGUUGCUGGAGGGCAGAGCAGAGUGCUGGGACGGCGCUUCUUUAUGCAAAGCCACCCGUGCAACAGGACAGCUUCUGGAAAGGUCCCUUGGAGCAAUUCGCCAAUGGCCCAAAUAUGAAAUUGGGAUCUUAUUCAGGAAUAUCUAAUAUUUAUUGUUCUGGAAUAUCUAAUAUUUAUUGUCCAGGAAUAUCCACAAAAUCCCGUCCGGAGCUGCUGCCCCUCCUGCCCCCGCCCAGCUGACGAAACCCAGCGACAGCCACGCAACCACCACCAAGUGUCGUCAAGCAAAAAUAGUCUUUAUUCCACUUUCAUGGAAACAGGAGUCACUGCACUUUGCAAGACAGGGAAAAAUAAAAUAAAAAAUCUUAAUAUAAAACAAGGAUAUUGUCACAAUACCAUAUAUGGAACUAUACUUUUCCCUAUGGAUUACUGCAAGUACCUAUUUUUUUUCCUUUAGACUGUACUAUUCACAACUUUGUGAGCCCAAAACCAAAAGUAGUAUGAACUGAAGACUUAGCACUUCCACUAAUGUUGUACAUCGAGGGGCAAAGACUGUUGAAGCCAUCGUACCUACCCAACCGUCCUCCCGUCAGCCCACCGAGGUGCAGCGCUCCCUCUCUGCAAGGCUUUUCCCGGCAAACAGGGCGAUUCUGGUGCUCCAGGAAGAGCGAUAUUUAAAGAGAGCCUUUCUGUCGGACAGAAGUGAGCUGAACAGCCCUGCGCCAGCGAGCACAGCGCGGAGGGAGCAGCGCAGCUCACGGCAGACACACCGCCAGGGUUGUUCAGAAUAUACAGCAUCGACGUUUCUACUUCAAUCACUUGCGCUACAACUACUGAACAUGUACAAAAGACUUUUCUGACCGUUCCAGCAAGAUUAGGAUCUGGAGCGAGACCUUGACCGUGAUCGGGAGCGUGACCUAGAGGCAGACCUAGAUCUAGACUUGGACCGGGAUCUAGGCUUUGAAAUAGACUUGGACCUGGAACGAGAAUCUGAUUUGCCACAUGGUUUUGACUUGGAAAUGGACCUAGACCUGGAGUGAGACACCCGGUGCGCAGCUCCAUCCUCGCCCUCCCCUCUCCCCUCUUUUUUGUCAGAAUCUGGUUUUGGACGCUCCUUUUCCUUGGAGGCUGACCUGGACCGCUCGCGGCUGUCCUUCCUUUUCUUCUUGCUACUCGGUUUGCCGUCUCGCUUGCUGCGCCUCUUGCUUUUCUGGCUCUUGCUGCGGCUCCUGCUCCUACUUCUGCUCUCAUCCCUGCUCCUCUUCCUGCCUUUCCUUUGAUCCUUGCUGGGGCUCCUGCUCUCGUCCCUGCUCCCGCUCCUCGCGCCCUCCCUCGCCUGCCCCCUGUCCUUACUCCCGCUCCUACUCUUCUCCUUGCUGCGACUCCUGCUCUCUGCUUUCUCAUCGCUGUUAUGGAGAGCGCCCUCAGAUUUGUCUUUACAUUUGUUUCGGGACGUCUCUGCGCUCCUGCUGCGGCUCCUACUUUUAUCCUCUUUACUUGGAGUCCUGCUUUUCUCUUUUUGGCCUCUGCUACAGCUCUUGCUUCGACUACGGCUCUUGCUUCUGGAACGGGACACAGACCUGAAAGCAAAAAGGCAGGAGACAGCUCCACUUUAAUGUGGCUUGGAUUUGACUAGCUCUUAGAUACUGUGCAUAAUAUGGCAGGGAAAAACAGUGUUCCUACUGCAAAUCUAGGAUGCUGCUUCUCAUUUAAGUGGGUAGCCCCCAUUUCUUCCGCCACAGAGACAUACCUGGAUCUUGAUCUACUCUUGGAGCGACUACUACUGGCACUGCGGCUCCUGCUCUUAUGAGAAUGUCUGCUGCGCGAGCGAGACCUGGAACAAAAGCAACCAGCGUCACGUUAGCGCGUGCCCGCGGGAGCUUGCGACCCGCGCGGGCGAAACCCACAGUGCUAAAGCGCCUUGCACGCAGCUGAACGGUGAGAGCGUUACACAGGGAAGUCAGACUCGGGGCGCCCUUCUCCCCACCGCUCCUCCCCUGCGGCCGCGUCUGGAAGUGAGCAGGCUGCUAAUCCGGGAGGAAACACGCGCCCUUAUUUGAGAUAAGGAAGCAAAACCUCUUUCAAGUCAGAGCUUGGAUACAGUGAGAGCCUGGGACAGAGCUCUGACUGCAGGCUUUGGUUUAAUGUCCCACGAACAGCAGGAGUUUGCCUGAGUUUUCUCAUGACAAGUUCUACCCCCGAAUGCAGUGUGGUGUGCUGAAGCAGCUCUCGAUCCUAUAAUGAAAGCAGCGAAUCUCUAAGAAACAGGGAACAGGUGAAGGUUUCCAAGCUGAGAAGGAACUGUUAGUCCUGGUGCUUAUAUCAGAACACAGUGUUCAGAGCCAAAGCGUUAAAAGCACCUUCUGUUUCAUCCUGCAGGCUCAGCCGCACCUGCCGGGCGGCCUCAUCCUGCGCGAGCUGCGGACCAGCCGCGCCGGGACGAGCGGCACGGUGCGGGGGCUCGCCCAGCACCCUCUGAACAGAGGCCUCGUUGCUCUCGGUUACUUCUGGCAACUCACAAAUCCUCAGAAACUAGAUUUACUGAGGACUCUGAACUCCUCCAGUAUUUAUGUAAUUGCAGCUAGAUUCGGUCGGAGCUGCUUCAGAGGGAGACGUACCUUGAGUGGCUUCGGCUUCUGGAGUAAGAGCGGCGCCGCCUCGACCCAGGUCUGUCUUCCACUAAUCUAAUCUUUCUGCCAUUUACUUCUGUCCCGUCCAGCUUUUCAAGGGCUCUUUUCAUGUCAGAAUAGGAUUUGAACUCAAUCACACCUUCAUUUUUCCUUCCUUUGUGUGCAUCUGCAUAUGUCACCUCCCCUGCCUGACGCAUGUAAUCCUGGAGGGAGAGGACAGAACAACCAUCGCCUCGAAUCCAGAGCCGGGCUCCCACUUCUGCAACAACGCCCGCUUAAACCUCCUCUGCUCACACGGAUGUCAGCGAGGGUUUAACCAAAGCGCUUUUGCCAAAUAACACACCAGGACUUCACCGACUCUGUGCGAUUAGAAUCAAGGUGGUGCCGAUAGUUUGGAACCAAAUGAUAAUUUAAGGUCUCCCAUCUCACGUCUAAUAGCAAAUAUGCUCUGGACUAAAAGUUUCAAAGCAAAGAAGCGAUUAAAGAAAUAAAACGCUUGCUCUCUAAA